rnacentral:rRNA from 1 species
UGCGUAGGUGGCGAAGUAAGUCGGAUGUGAAAUCUCGGAGCUCAACUCCGAAACUGCAUUGGAAACUACUUUGCUCGAGGGUCGGAGGGGGGACUGGAAUUCUCGGUGUAGCAGUGAAAUGCGUAGAUAUCGAGAGGAACACCAGUGGCGAAGGCGAGUCCCUGGACGACUCCUGACACUGAGGCACGAAAGCUAGGGAGCAAACA